AGCAAUAAGAAUAUUCGUAUUCACUUUUGGCUUACAAGACCAAUGCUCUGGUUUAAGCUAUUAUUGC
rnacentral:tRNA from 2 species